rnacentral:rRNA from 1 species
UACGAAGGGGGCUAGCGUUGCUCGGAAUCACUGGGCGUAAAGCGCACGUAGGCGGCUUUUUAAGCCAGGGGUGAAAUCCUGGAGCUCAACUCCAGAACUGCCUUUGAUACUGGGAGCUUGAGUCCGGGAGAGGUGAGUGGAACUCCGAGUGUAGAGGUGAAAUUCGUAGAUAUUCGGAAGAACACCAGUGGCGAAGGCGGCUCACUGGCCCGGUACUGACGCUGAGGUGCGAAAGCGUGGGGAGCAAACAGGG